AACCAUCUUGAGGGUAUAAAAGGAUUAACGUUAAAAAGUGGAGAAUUACUGCCAAAAGUUAUGGGGUGCUAUAAUACUUUCUCUUUCCAUCACAGAAGAGGGGAAGAGGGUAAGUAAAAGAAGCUUCUAGUGACCUGCUAAGGGAGUUUGAUCUUGACCACCUGGUAUAUGUAGUGUCCAAGACUAAUGUCAGACCAUGCCUGACAUUAGUGAGAAGCUGAAACCUAUAGCCACGGAGCAGAAAACUUCACUAGGAACAAAGUACCCUUCUUUGUGAGACAAGGGCAGGUGACUGUUUUCUGUGUGAGAUUUGGGUCACAUGGAGAAAAAAACCUACCUGGAGCAAUCUUAAAGAGGACUGAUGGGAAGAUUGUCUGCGACACACUGCUGGAUAUCCCAGAGGCUGAGGCUCAAUUCAUGAGAAUUACAAAUAGAGAGCUCCAGUGGGAGUACUUAUAUGGAAGCUACAAUCAUAGCACCUGAAAUAAAGGUAAUCACCCUUGGAGCCCUGCCAUAGACAAAAGAGGCCAAGGAGGGUGGACGGCUUGAGCUCAGGAGUUCAAGACCAGCCUGGGCAACAUAGUGAAACCCUGUCUCUACAAAAAGCAUACAAAAUUAGCCAGGUGUGGUGGUAUGCACCUGUAGUCCCAGCUACUCAGGAGGCUGAAGUAGGAGGAUCACCUGAGCUCGGGAAGUUGAGGCAGUGAGCAGAGAUUGUGCUACCGCAUUCCAACCUGGGCAAUGGGAGUGAAACCUUGUCUCAAAAAAAAAAAAAAGAAGAAGAAGAAGAAGAAGGACAUAAAGAAAGAAAAUAUUUUGUAAGACUGUACAAUGUAUUUGUGUUUUAAGCUAAAUUUUAUUACAAAAGAGUCAAUAAAUUUAAAAUUUUAAGUUUAUGAAGUAAAAAAAAGCUACAGUAAGCUAAGGUUAAUUUAUUAUUAAAGAAAGAAAAACAUUUUAAAUAAAUUUAGUAUAUCCUAAUUGUACAGUGUUUAGAACGUCUACAGUAAUGCAAUGUCUGAGGUCUUCACAUUCACUCACCACUCAUUCACUGACUCAC
rnacentral:lncRNA from 1 species